CACAAUCUCAUUGCUAUCAUAUUUCAUUUAAUUGAGGCACCUCCAUCUUCUUACAGAAUUCCAAGAUGUCCUUUGGCUGAGAAGGCCAGUGAGGCCUGAUCGCUGAAGUAGACAAACUGAGAGACUUGGAGGCUCAGCUAAACUCUUCGGCGCAACAGAACAGAGCUUUGGGAGCCAAUUUCUUUGCCACAGUGAAAGGAAUGUGCAAACUGAAAGACAAUGAAGGUAUCUUCACAGAUCCAGUGAAGGGAGUCUACUACUUCACAUUAUGUACAUUUGUCUACAAUGACCACAAGAGUGCUGAUGGUGACAAUACCAUUUUGAAUCAGAAUAAUGGGGACAGGGUCUGUGUGGAACUGUGGGAGCAGUGCCAGGUGUAAGACAACAAUGAUGGGCACACUACCUUCAGUGGCCUUCUGCUUUUUCCUGUAAAAGAGACGUUAUAACCUGUAAAUGAGAAUUACCUCCCUGCCAUGAAAUGCACACUAGGUGUGUCCCAAUAAUCUCCUUUCUCCUGAAGCGUGUACUCUUUCACUAAAAGCAUUGGAUUGGUGGAGGCAUGGGCUAGUGGUAAUUUCCAACAUAUUUCUUAUUCCAGUCAUCAGUAAUUUCCUCUAAAUUAGUGACGGGAAGUGAACAAGUGCACACUUUGGGAGGAAUGAGAGCUAAUUGGGACAGAGCCUCUGUCUGUAAUGAAGCAGGAAUUCUCUUGACGGUGACUGAAUUUAGUGAGAAUUAACUCCGCUGAAUCCCAAACCAGCCCUGUUUUCUCAUGGACUGCUCUUGCAAGUUGUAUUUUUGUCUUUUUAAAGUUUUCAUAUCCACAAUAUUUCUGACCUUUUUUGUGAUUUGUUUAUGGAAAAUCUAGAAAAAGCCUGGAUUAUAAUUUAUGAAUUUCUCAUGCCUCCAUGUUUUUUUUCUAUGCUGUUAAUUUAGUUUAGUGUUUUUAACGACUAUGAUAGAUUACCUGUAGACAUUGUUUUUGAACCGUUGGUUGAACUUCAGUAUGCCAAUGCAAUUCAUUAGACGUUUUCAGACUCUGACUGUCAUGUGGUCCUCAGUGUUCUCUGUAUAAUAAUGUACUUUCCAUCUCCUCUAAAAUAAGGUCCAUCUUUGCCUUGAGCCACCAGGUAUAUUUUUAGAGUGAAUAGGAUGACCUUCAUUUACUCUUGGGUACUGUCCUAGAAUCCAGAAAAGUAAUUUAAAAUAUUACGUUUUGAGCCACAAAGAUGCAGCCACUUCUUUCUGCAAAGGUUGUUCAGAGUGUUGUUUUAUCUAGACUUACUCAAAAACACUGACAGUUUGGAUGGAUUAAUUAUUAAUGAAAUAUUUAGUGAGUUCAGGAGAUCUUUUUGAACCUUAUGCAUUGGAAAAAUGUCUGACAAAAUGUUCCAAUAGAAAUGGAGCCAAAUAAAUAGACAAGACGAUGGGCCAAUUUUAACGUCCGCUACAUAAAGUGGUCAGGGUGUAUAACAACAUCCUAUUGUACUGGGCCCAGUUUCCCAAUAGCAUCUUAAAGCUAAGUUCGUUAGAACCUUGGUAGGAGCAUUGUUAACUCCAAGCUGUUUCCCAAACCAGCGUUGCUAAAGUUGCCCUUGAAAAUGCUCGUUAUUUAACCAUUGCCUCAAACCAGUCGUUAGAUGCUUUUUUUGCCCUUCCGCUGUAUACACAAAAUCAAGAUGUUUCUGUCUUUCUGUGACUGCAGAUAACUUCAGAACGAAUGUGACUACAAAUUUGUGAAUUUUGUUGCAGUUGUUACUAACAAGUGAAAGAUAUAAAAAUGCUUCUAAUGAAAACCGAGUUAAUACAGUCGAGGCUACAUAGACCUAUAUAUUUUUGAGUUUUAAGGUAUUUGUGUCUGUAAUUGCCGCCUCAAAAUAGUUAAUGGUGAGUAAGGUGUGCAAUGAUGUACCUAAACUUGAUUUAGUGGAUAAUUAUUGGGUAAGCAUUAGAAUAAGCCGCCUCAAUAUUGUAGCCGUAGGUGAUAAACUCUUUAGAAGCUGAUCCGUCAUUAGUAUUGUGGAAUAAUUCUAAUGUUAAGGUAAGAUUUGAAAGGGAGGAUGCUGAUCUGAGAGCAGUGCUGUCUUUCUUUUGAUCCUUUCAGUAUCGACACAAGCCUCAACACACACAUUGAACAUUCUCUGCAUGGUGUUUUGGGAAACGAAUGUUACAUCUUUGGCCGUUGUAGGAAAGAUGCAUUGUUAAAACACUCGUAACCCAAAGUUUUAUCGCUAUCAGGAAACUAAGCCCUGUUCUUGUGAAGUCAAAAGCUGUUUCCAUUAACUUAGGGAUCAAUUUGACAACAUCUGGUGAAAUGGCAGAGCGCCAAAUUCAAAUUAAAUUAUUAGAAAUAUUUAACUUUCUUACAAUCACAGGUGUAAUACACCAAAUUAAAGCUUUACUUAAUGUUAAUCCAGCCACUGUGUCAGAUUUCAAAAAGGCUUUACGGGGAAAGCAAACCAUGCUAUUAUCUGAGGAUAGCACCCCAUCAAACAAACACAGACAAUCAUAUUUCAUCCUGCCAGACUCGACACAAAACGCAGAAAUAAAGAUAUAAUUCAUGCCUUACCUUUGAAGAGCUUCUUCUGUUGGCACUCCAAUAUGUCCCAUAAACAUCACAAGUUGUCCUUUUGUUCAAUUAAUUCCGUCGAUAUAUAUCCAAAAUGUCAAUUUAUUUGGCGCGUUUGAUCCAGAAAAACACUGGUUCCAACUCGCGCAACAUGACUACAAAAUAUCGUAUAAGUUACAUGUAAUCUUUGUCCAGACAUUUCAAACAUCUUUCCUACUACGAUUUUACGUAUUUUUUAUCAUAAUUAAUCGAUAAAAUUUAA